rnacentral:rRNA from 1 species
GAUGAACGCUGGCGGCGUGCCUAAUACAUGCAAGUCGAGCGAACAGAUGAGGAGCUUGCUCCUCUGACGUUAGCGGCGGACGGGUGAGUAACACGUGGAUAACCUACCUAUAAGACUGGGAUAACUUCGGGAAACCGGAGCUAAUACCGGAUAAUAUAUUGAACCGCAUGGUUCAAUAGUGAAAGACGGUUUUGCUGUCACUUAUAGAUGGAUCCGCGCCGCAUUAGCUAGUUGGUAAGGUAACGGCUUACCAAGGCGACGAUGCGUAGCCGACCUGAGAGGAUGAUCAGCCACACUGGAACUGAGACACGGCCCAGACUCCUACGGGAGGCAGCAGUAGGGAAUCUUCGGCAAUGGGCGAAAGCCUGACGGAGCAACGCCGCGUGGGUGAUGAAGGUCUUCGGAUCGUAAAGCUCUGUUAUUAGGGAAGAACAGAUGUGUAAGUAACUACGCACGUCUUGACGGUACCUAAUCAGAAAGCAACGGCUAACUACGUG